AUUUCCCCCUGGUCUUUACCAGUCAUGGCCUCCUAAUAAUCCCCAUGGCCUGCUCUCCUCCCCACUGAGAGCUGGUGUGUGGUGAGAGUACUGGAGCAUCAUCCGGGUGGGGCCGCACACUGGUGGUGGUAGUGGGAUUCCCCAUUACGUGUAAAGUGCUUUGAGUGGAGUGUCCAGAAAACUGCUAUAUAAGUAUAAGCAAUUAUUAUUAAAUUAGCCUUGGGAGGUGAGGAAUCUCCCCUAUUCCACCUUUGAAAACAAACAGUAACUUCUUUAGCAACACACUAUCCAAGGUCCCAGUCCAGGAAGCGUCUCUACAGGCUUGAGAUCGCAGCCAGAUAUGCAGAUAUCACAAACAUGAGGAAAUAGGUGAAUGACUUACGAUAACAGCCUUAAGCGAUUAUCACUCUUCAGAAUGACAGCAGGUGCCCACAGACGUGUGAAUCCAGUCUCAACGGGAUCGUCAGACAGCUUUCCUAUGUCCCUGCUGUGUCAGUGCACAGACACCUCCGGCCCAUGAGCGCAGAUGCUGGAGAGCACCUAAAAGAACAGGGGAAAGAAGGAAACAGGUCAGAUAAAAAGGAAAAGGGGAAAAGACCAGAGCACAAAGGAAGGGAAAACUGAAAGACGGCUUGACCCCAGAGGAAAACAGGGAAGAGACAGUGAGCCCUCAGAGACAGACAGAGAGCUGUUCCCCACAGCCCUGACACCUGAGCUGAGACAGCAACGGUGAACGCGUGCGAGCAAAUGUACAUGAACAUGGAGGGCGAAGACGACCUGAGCUUUUCCUACGAGAUCGACAGCGGGCAGGAGUCAGCUUUACCCCAGACUCCCUCUGCUCCCAUGGAUCCGUGCUGUGACCCCUCCAGGCCAAAUCCGUAUCAUUCAUUCUCUUCCCUCAAGAAGGUGUGGCAGCCAGACGAGGCAGGUGGCUCCCGUGAAGGCAGCCCGUUAAACGCCAAGGGCCAAGGCCUGGAGUUCGCUGACCCAUCCAUUGCACGCCCAGGUGUACCCUUCACUUACACCAAGAGGGCUUGGCACUCGGAACAGUCAGGACAGCACAACUAUCAUCAGGAUGAACAGGACUGCCAGAGUCUGCAAAGAAGCUGGAGCACAGAGGAACAAAUGUACGAUACUUCCUCUGAUGAAGAAGAAGAUGAGGACCUGGCCUUCGUGGUCCAAAAGGUGCGCCAGGGGAUGAAGCGCUUCCACCGCGAGUUCGGCGAGCAGGCGCCCAAGCUGAGGGCCCACGUGGCCAGCCUGAACUGCCUGGC
rnacentral:lncRNA from 1 species